rnacentral:lncRNA from 1 species
UGCAAAAGUUUGUGGAGAAUUAUUAGUUGGUGUUGUUCUGUAGUAGCUCCUUAUUUCUGUUCAUAAAUCUUCGUUUCCGUGAAUGAUACAUUCAAAUAGAGAGCAGGGUCACUCCCUUCCGGUGGCAACGGCACUGAUUAAAAUGGGGACUGAGAAUUUAGAUUUAAUUACUAAGGUUAUAUACAUUAAGUCAAACUUAAGACGAACUUAUCCGUCGUAUCAAGAUGGAACUCCAAGAUUUGCAAAGCAGCCCAGGAGGCGAAGACCUUCUUGCACUUUCGGUCUCGUAUCGAGACUUUAAUUGAGGCUUAAGGUGAUUUUGUUGAAUGUAAUAAAUCAGAAUACAUCCAGCUUCUAUAAACUACUCUUUUUUUUUUUAAUCUGGUAAACCGUUGGAGAGAAAAUUGUGGUUAAAAAAAAAUCAUUUUACGGCACUCAUACCGCCCUCAAUGAAUCCCCACAUUGCCCAUAUAAUGAACCACCCCUGUCUAAAAGGAUUGAUCUGGUCAAAUCCUAAAGUUAUAUCAGUACCAGGGCCAAAUAGAUGUAAUGAAAAGCCAUCCAGUUGUCCUCAAACCUAUUAAUAUGGGCAUAAAGAUUAAAAACACCAAUCUUUACAAAAUGGUAUGUUAUGUUGAAAGUAUGUUGGAUCUUCUUUUCUUUUUUUCAGAGUUAAUAAAUUUAUCAUGUAAAUCUGAUCAGUUGAUCAAACUCUCCAGCUUUUAAUGCGUUUGUAGUUUCUUUGUUAACAUUUAUAUCCGUAACUAAAUCCAUCCCUCCAUAAAUAUUUAUGAAUUUGUUUUGAAUGGCUUUCGAUGUUUUUUUGGACAUUUUUGACGUCAUAUGACUAAACCAUCUUGUAGAACUUUCUCCUAAUGCAAAAAAAUAUUCCUUGAAGUUCAAACUGCAAGUUUGGGAUUCCUAAGUUUGUUCAAAUCACUUUUGUUUGAAGAAUUUAAGUCCAUUGUGUCGUUUUCAAUGACAGUAUCUAUUCGGUGAGGCUUUUGUUUUUUUAGCUUCUCCUCGCAUGGGCGGCAAAUAUUUCUUGACACAAACGACCAUUUUUUGACAAGUCCCUCAGAAACUAAUCGAAUAUUUUCCCUGAUUAGUGUUUUAUUAUUAUUAACUGGAUCAUUAAAAACUUUUAAUUCAUCGAAAUAGCUGCCUCACUGAGUUUCCAUUUUGAAAAUGAUUUGCCAUGUUGAAACUAAAUAAAGAACUAUCCAGUUGUUUGCUAAUACUCAAUUAAAGUAUUCCCAAUCAUUAGCUUCAAUAAAGUACUUCUUUUUGAUCUCAGCCUAGCUAACCCUUUUUUUUGUAUUAAACUCCUACAGUAUAUAUGAAUUUCAAAAAAUAUUUUAACCUUUACACACAGAGCUAUAAAAUUAAUUCUCUUUUCUAAUAUUUUAGCCAAGUUUUUUUCACAUUCCUUCGUAUUUCGCUUAAAUCGUUGACCGAAAUUUAAAUGCAGACCCAAAACUCUUACUAAUUAUUUAAUAUAUGUUGCCGGACGUUUCAUGAAAGUUAGAAAAAAAUUAAAGUAUACCAUGUUCAAAAAAUUUAAGGUCAAAUAUUUGACCUCGUGACCUCAAGGUCAAAGAGGCAUUUUAUUGGGUAAAAAUAUGAAUAUAGAAUAAGGAAUGUGUAAAUAUUUAUCCAAUCACAUUUAAAGUAGAUCGAUAUCAUUAACAAUAUAGGAGAAAAAGCUCUUUAAAAAUAUGGGUGCAGGCCUCAAAGUCGGAACUUUAGGAUCCUCUAACUCCUGAGAUGGAGGUCAAAGAAGAUAGGUAAUUUUUAUGGGAUACAAACGAUUUUUUCAGAAGGGACGAAAAAGUCUCAUAGAAAAGAGACCAGGAAAUGUCACUCUCCGUGGUCACCUAUAUAUUGUUAGUUGAACAAAAAAAAAAUCAAAAAUGGUUCUUAUCAGAACCACUCCCUUUGUCAUAAGAGAACUUUUAAACUAUUAGUAAUUUAAUUUAGGAAUCUUGUUCUUCCCUAUGAUUUAAAAAAAAAUUGUUAAUAGCCUCCAAAUUUAUUUAUUUUAAAAGGAUAAUAACUUUGAAGGAAAAUGUAUUUUAUAAUAAUUCACUUAUUAGGUUGACGUUUAUCAGACCUUUUAUCAUGUUUUAAUUCUACAUCAAUUCUUAGAGAGGCUUCAAGACCUAAAGGAUCGUAUGUUUGAGGUAAUUUAAAAUAUAUAUGCAGUAAAAAAAUUUGUAUACACUGUGGUACCAGCUUCAGUGAAAAAAAGUUAUACGUUUACUAUAUCGAGGCAUUUAAAAAAGAAAUAUGACAUGAACAAAACAAUAUCCGAAAGUAACAACCAACUGCCAAACGAUAUUACACUAUGUCUUUAUUCAGUCGGCUGAAUAAAGACAUAUUAAAUUGACGAAGUUGUUUCUGAAAAUGUUAUUCAAAGAUGUAAUGCUAUUAAGAACAAUGGAAAGAUCUUCAAUUGUUAAUUUCAUUGAAGAAUUGGAUUCGAAAUAUACACUCCCAUCCCAAAAAAUAUUUCUGAAAAUUUGUUGCUAGCUUUAUGGGUUAAGAAAUAUAAAGAGUUAAGUUCAUGUCUUACAAUUUUUAUUACUUGCUCAUAUAAAUUUUAGAAUCAAUCAAGGCUAUGUUUAAUAUGUUCUUUUUUAUUUUAUAAAAACAGAUGAUUGAAGAACUUAAAAGUACAGAAACAGUUGGAAUAACAAGUAUGGACAGGAUUAUCUACAUGAGCGUAUACUCGCUUUACAAGAAUUUAAAGAUAAGAAGCGAUUAGUGUUUUUU